rnacentral:rRNA from 1 species
UACGGGGGGAGCAAGCGUUGUUCGGAUUUACUGGGCGUAAAGGGCGCGUAGGCGGUCAGCACAAGUCAGUUGUGAAAUCUCCGGGCUUAACUCGGAAAGGUCAACUGAUACUGUGCGACUAGAGUGCAGAAGGGGCAACUGGAAUUCUCGGUGUAGCGGUGAAAUGCGUAGAUAUCUGGAGGAACACCGGUGGCGAAGGCGGCAUCCUGGACCAACACUGAACGCUGAGGAGCGAAAGCCAGGGGAGCAAAGCGGGGAUUAAGAAACCCC